ACCUAUUAUGUAGACCCCGUAGUAGAAAAAGUUAGGCUGCUGAAAUUAUAGUUUCAAACAUACAAAUUUGACUUGAUAGUGGGGAAGGCCGCUAAAUAUUGUUGAUACAUAUCGUGGAAACUGUAAAGGUAUUACUAUUACUAGGCGAUCCAGAACAGGAUCCUUUUCAAGAAGUCAUAGCAGAUCACCAACCAAAAGAUGUAGUCUUGACUCAACUCCAGAAGCUGUAGAAUUCAUUCAGUAAGCCCAGAAAGAAAGGAACAAACUUCAAGGAGCAAGUCAAAGUCAAUCUCUCUCUCAUGAUCACCAAAAGAAAACUCCUCUGCUAGACGAAGACAGGAACUGUAGUUGACCAUAUUCACUUAAUAACAAUUGAAUGUUUGGAACCCAUUUAAUUAGUAUAGGCAAGUUAGAACACAAAUGAAAUAUUGACCAUUUCACAGAGGGUGUUAUUGACAUAAAAUGUCAGUUUAAUAUAGGAAUUGCAUAAUAUUAGUGGUUAACCUUCUCUAUACAGAUAAGUAAAGCACUCAUAUUACUAUGUUUCACAGUUAUUUGUAAAAUAUAAAGCAAUAAAAUUCACAUCAAAAUGUUUAUGAUUAAAAUUUUUAUAUUAUA